UACGGAGGAUCCGAGCGUUAUCCGGAUUUAUUGGGUUUAAAGGGUGCGUAGGUGGCCUGUUAAGUCAGGGGUGAAAGACGGUAGCUCAACUAUCGCAGUGCCUUUGAUACUGAUGGGCUUGAAUGAACUAGAGGUAGGCGGAAUGUGACAAGUAGCGGUGAAAUGCAUAGAUAUGUCACAGAACACCAAUUGCGAAGGCAGCUUACUAUGGUUUUAUUGACACUGAGGCACGAAAGCGUGGGGAUCAAACAGG
rnacentral:rRNA from 1 species